CAGAUAGUUAAGGGUUAAUGCCUCUUUUACUUGUAAAGGGUUAAGAAGUUCACCUAGCCUAGCUGACACGUGACCAGAGGAACUAAUGGGGGGACAGGAUGUUUCAAAAGGAAAGAGGGAAGUUCCCUUUCCUUUAUUUUAGAAUUUUCAG